rnacentral:rRNA from 1 species
UGCGUAACGCGUAUGCAAUCUACCUUAUACAGGGGGAUAGCCCAGAGAAAUUUGGAUUAAUACCCCAUAGUAUAAUUGAAUGGCAUCAUUUGAUUAUUAAAGUUCCAACGGUAUAAGAUGAGCAUGCGUCCCAUUAGCUAGUUGGUGUGGUAACGGCACACCAAGGCGACGAUGGGUAGGGGUCCUGAGAGGGAGAUCCCCCACACUGGUACUGAGACACGGACCAG